UUACUCAAGCAUACAACUUUGUUAACAUUUCUCCAUUUAGUUUUGACUUAGUUCGUUUUAAAUAAUUUUGGCAGCAAUUCUACUUUUCUGCUUAGCAUUAUGUUGUUAUAUGAAUUUGGAACCUGAUACUGUGUUUGCUGAUCUUAGCUGGAGUAGGGUAUACUAGCACCAUCCGGCGUAAGAAUGGUAAAUUAUCUGAAUUGAUCGGUGAACUUCAGGGUCUAAAAUUCUCAGAUCUUAUGUAUGUGA